ACGCUCGACACCUACGGGGGGCAGCAGUGGGGAAUAUUGGGCAAUGGAGGCAACUCUGACCCAGCAACGCCGCGUGAAUGAUGAAGGUCUUCGGAUUGUAAAGUUCUGUGACGGGGGACGAACACAAUGACGGUACCCCGAUAGCAAGCCACGGCUAACUACGUGUCAGCAGCCGCGGUAAUCUGAGCGGGCUGGCAAGGC
rnacentral:rRNA from 1 species